UACGGAGGGAGCUAGCGUUGUUCGGAAUUACUGGGCGUAAAGCGCACGUAGGCGGCUUUUUAAGUCGGGGGUGAAAUCCCGGGGCUCAACCCCGGAACUGCCCUUGAAACUGGAGAGCUAGAAUCUUGGAGAGGCGAGUGGAAUUCCGAGUGUAGAGGUGAAAUUCGUAGAUAUUCGGAAGAACACCAGUGGCGAAGGCGACUCGCUGGACAAGUAUUGACGCUGAGGUGCGAAAGCGUGGGGAGCGAACAGG
rnacentral:rRNA from 1 species